rnacentral:tRNA from 1 species
GGCCUUGUAGCUCAGUUGGCUAGAGCGUUGGUUGUACUAAAUCCUUCCCCUUGCUGGCGUUGAUUCAAAUCCCACCGAGGCCG